UGGGGAAUUUUGGACAAUGGGCGAAAGCCUGAUCCAGCAAUGCCGCGUGUGUGAAGAAGGCCUUCGGGUUGUAAAGCACUUUUGUCCGGAAAGAAAUCCUCUGGGUUAAUACCUCGGGGGGAUGACGGUACCGGAAGAAUAAGCACCGGCUAACUACGUGCCAGCAGCCGCGGUAAUACGUAGGGUGCAAGCGUUAAUCGGAAUUACUGGGCGUAAAGCGUGCGCAGGCGGUUUUGUAAGACGGAUGUGAAAUCCCCGGGCUUAACCUGGGAACUGCAUUCGUGACUGCAAGGCUAGAGUAUGGCAGAGGGGGGUAGAAUUCCACGUGUAGCAGUGAAAUGCGUAGAGAUGUGGAGGAAUACCGAUGGCGAAGGCAGCCCCCUGGGCCAAAUACUGACGCUCAUGCACGAAAAGCGU
rnacentral:rRNA from 1 species